AGAGACGCUGUCGCUAGGGAGCGGCUGGAAGAGCCAGCAGCCUCGGGGAGAAGCCAGAGCUGUUUGUUCCCGUCACCUGGGCGAGGAGGCACACACAGUCGCGCGCGCACGGACGAAUACACAAACGCACACACGCCACUGGCGAGUUCGAGCCCCGCGGCCCCUGUCCGCCCGCGUGCACGCCUCGGCACGGCUUGCCUCUGGCCCCCAGCUCCCCGGCCCCCGCUCCCCGAUUCCUGCUGCUGCCGCCCAGAGGAGAAAGGAAUCUCUGCCUCGAAUUUCUCCCACCGCGCCGGGCGCUGCGGAGAGCGGCGAGGGUGGGCACGAGGCGGAGAACGCGAUGAAUGAGUUCUCCCCUCGCCUCGGAGUUGUCUGAGUUGGCGGCGCUGCGCCCAGGCUUCCUGCUCUCAGCGCCCCACGCGCGCGUGGCUCCCCGGGCUGCCACCCACGCCCACGGUCGGCGCCGAGCCAGCCACGCAGGGCAGCCGAGGCUCCGGAGCUCGUGUCCUGGCCCCAGUCCGGGGAAAAGGAGGGUUGUCCCCCCGGAGGCGCACGGCCGCGCGGUCUCCCCGCACUCUCUCCGCGGUCCCAUCUGUUCCCCAUGGCGUCUCAUCCGCAAACCCGGAUCCAGGCUUACCUGGAGAAGAACAAGAUCGGUCCCCUGUUUGAGGAAUUAAUGACCAAGUUAAUAACUGAGACACCUGACCAGCCAAUCCCAUUUCUCAUUGACCAUCUUCAGUCUAAACAAGGGAACCGUGGACAACUUCAAAGAACUUUGUCUGGAUCUGCAGCUCUGUGGGCAGAAAGUGAAACAUCAGAAUCCAAAGGAACAAGACGGGAUAUCAGAAGCUAUGAUAAACCUUGGCAAUUAAAUGCAAAGAAGCCUAAAAAAUCAAAAAGUGACCUUGCUGUGUCUAAUAUUUCUCCACCAUCACCGGACUCCAAAUCAUUGCCAAGGUCAGUAGAGCAUCCAAAGUGGAACUGGAGGACUAAACCACAAAGCCGUGAUUUUGAUGAAUUGAAUCACAUCCUUCAAGAGAGCAAGAAGCUGGGGAAAGCCCUUGAGAAUCUCUCUCGAAGUAUUGCAAUUUCAGAUGAACUUGAUAAGGAAACAGUGGCAUUUAAUUCUUCUCUUCUGAGGCCCCGUGUGAUUGGAGAAUGGAUUGGUAGAGAAGAAAAUGAUGCGGAUCCCCUAGCUGCUGAAAUGCUACAGCCUCCAAUUCCAAGAAGCAAAAAUGACCAAUGGGAAAGUGAAGACAGUGGCUCUAGCCCAGCAGGAAGUUUAAAGAUGGAGCCUAAGACUAAAGGAUUAAAACAGCAGCAACAGCAACAUAAGAAACUCCUGGCCGCGAUGCUCUCUCAAGAUUCUUUUGAGUCCAUCCACAGCCCUACCCCAUCCGUAACAGAAGAAGAUAUUGAUAAUGAAGAUGAUGCAAUGGAAUUGCUGGAGGAUCUUAAUGAUUUAAGAAUGGAGGGAGUAACAACCCUGGUACCUUCUGGGAGCAAAUUUAACCAAGGCCGUCCUACUUACCCUGCUGAGCCUCAGGCCAAGGUCACACUGAACAUCUGUUCAAGGUGUGCCAGGCUUCAAGGAGACAACCUGGCAGAAAGGACAGAUGAGACACUACCAGUACUCCGUUCUCCAGAUGAAAAAAUCCCAGAUUCCUUCGAUUCCUUACCUGGGACUGAAGAAGCACUAAUGGAGGAGGGUGAAGAAUUUGAGAAAGCAUCUAUACUAACGGGACCUGAAGAAGCCUCCAGUGGAGGAGGAUACUCACUGAAAAACUACAUGGAAGAAGAUGAAUCCUUAAAGCAACUGCAGGUAGUUCAUCAACCAUGGAUCUUGCCAAGUGACACAGAAAGCGAAGGAGUGGAAGCAGAACAAGAGAAACGUUCUGCUGAUCUUCUUCUUUGUGUUCCAUGCUCUUCUUGUCCUACACUGGUCUACUCUGGUUUGUGAAACAGACAGAAGAAGUUGCAAGUGGUCCUUAAAGAAACUGCAGUUAUUCAAAUCCUUAUCUAUAGUUCUAAUUUUAUUUACUAUGUGUAAUCAUUUAGAGAAUGGUUAUUUUUAUAAUCUCAAUAAUAAACAAGUACUAUUGUAACCAGGGGGUGCUCAAGUAUGUAAUCAGAGAACGUUAAUCCUGCCAAAGGAUUAUGGGGUGGUCAGGAGGCCUGCAGCCUUUUGGCAUGGUUAGUGUCUUGGAUUUAGAUUACUUUAUACAUAGUUAUUAGGAUUAAUAUUUGAUAUAUUAAAUAUUGCCUGAUUCAAAUAACUUUACUUAAAAUUUUUCUGUAUUUUAAAUUGUCUAGGGUUUUCUACUUCUAUUUUUAUAAUAUUUUAUCAUUUUUUAGAUUAAUAAACAUUAUACUUAUCCACAUGUGCGAACAUGUGCCAUUUAGGUCUCUGCAGAUGUUAGCUGUUUGGUGUCAUCACCUGCCAUACAUGUUGCGUGCAGCAGUAAGAAGUAUAUUCUCCACCACUGCUCCUUCUCAUGAUUAUUUUCUCUAUUCCUAUCAAAAAAAAUAAUUGAUAUGUUAAUUCAAUAAAGUAAGCCAAUAAGGAAUGAAAUGCAUGGCCCAAAACAUAGACAAUAAAAAUCGUUUGACCAUUUAUCAAAUUAUUGAACCCAGUUAAUAUUAUCCAUUUUAAAUUUAAUAUAUGCUUGCUUUUGGAAUGUGUUGUGCAUUGAUGCUAAGUGAAUGGAUCUAAGUAAAUCUAUUGAGUAUCUCUAC